CGGAAAUCCAGGCAGGGCUGCAGAGAGGAGUGAGCGGUGAAGGUCGUCCCAGCUUUUCUCCUCUGCUCUCCGUUCACCGGUGCCCAGGGACUCGGAGCCCACUCCCCCGAGAUCGGAGUCUCCCUUUGGGGUCCACCUAGGUACCUGCUGGCCCCUGAGAAGUGGGAUGCGAAUGAUUUCAGUCGGUGAGCAGAGGCAGGAAGCCCAGAAGAGGCAGCGGAGGGGACUGGGGCCGAAGGCCAGCGACCCGCGCCCUUAAGUUCUGCUCCGGGAACGAAGCAAAAACGCCCCAGGUGGAGCGAGAAACCUCUGUACUUCAGCAUCCAUGGAAUCCUCUUCCAAGCUGUAUGUCAAAAAGCAGGCUCUCUGGUCUCUGGUGCAGGCUGAUCGGAAACCACUGUGACAGCAGUUCACCCAGAUGCCACCUAAGGCCUUAGGCAUGCCCCAGGAGCAGGAGGAGGGCUGGGUGCCCCCUAGGAGUACUGGGCUGCUCUGUGCUGCUCUGGUUGGGUGGAAAACACUGUUCGCUUGGGAGACUGACCCUGAAGAGGUCUCCCCCAAAGCUGAGAAAGAGGCUGUGUGCUCAACUUGUAAGAAACUUGUUUUGGCUUCAGAAAUGUUUGUUGUGGGCUUCCUGAGCGCCUCAUCUGUCCCGGGGCAGAGGACGAGUCUCAUGUUCUCCAAGUAUAUCCAGGGUCCAAGCAGCUCUGGUAGGAGCAUUCCUGACCCCUUUCUGUAUCCCCCACGCCCACCCAUGGCCCACCCAUCCACGUGAUCUGAAACAGAUAUCAAACCCACUCCCUCCUCUUCAUCCUCCCCAACCCAGGCUGGCUUCACCGUGCCCCUGUGCUCCUCAUCCGUUCCUGCUUUCUGUCUCCCUCCCAGCGGUUCCUGGCACUGUAGCCAGAGCCCUAUUUCUGAACCACAAAUUGCACCCUCCCCAUUCCCUGCCUAAAAUCCUGCCAUGGAUUGAGUAGCAUUCCCUCAGUAUUCGUAUCUACCCCGACCCUCAGGAGGUGGCCUUGUCUGGAAAUAAGGGUCUUUGCAGAUGUCAGCUGAGGUCGUGUUGGGUUAGAGCGGGCUUUAAAUCCAGUGACUGGUGGAUUUAUAAAAAGAAGUAAGAGAA